UGGAAGUGAUAAAGUUGCGAAGUUGGUCUUGAAUUUUCAAAACUUUGCAAUUUGGUCCUAAUUCAUGCUCGGGUUGAAAAAAGAGCUCUCAUAAGCUCGUUUAAGACCUGGAAAUGAUUCUUUAACAUAAAUUGAAUGUGAUUGAUGUUUGACCGCAUAUUUUAAUGAUUAAUUACUACUCAUUUGAUUGUAGUUGUUCUAACAACGAAUAUAGCAUUUCACAAUUCGGACCCAACG
rnacentral:lncRNA from 1 species